UACGUAGGUGGGGAGCGUUGUCCGGAUUUAUUGGGUUUAAAGGGUGCGUAGGCGGUCCUAUAAGUCAGUGGUGAAAUAUCGCAGCUCAACUGUGAGGGUGCCAUUGAUACUGUAGGACUUGAGUGAAUUUGAGGUAGGCGGAAUUGACGGUGUAGCGGUGAAAUGCUUAGAUAUCGUCAAGAACACCGAUAGUGAAGACAGCUUACCAAGCUUCAACUGACGCUGAGGCACGAAAGUGUGGGGAUCAAACAGG
rnacentral:rRNA from 1 species